rnacentral:rRNA from 1 species
UACGGAGGGUGCAAGCGUUAAUCGGAAUUACUGGGCGUAAAGCGCACGCAGGUGGCUGAGUCAGUCGAUUGUGAAAGCCCUGGGCUUAACCUGGGAAUUGCAGUCGAUACUACUCAGCUAGAGUAUGGGAGAGGGCAGUGGAAUUCCCGGUGUAGCGGUGAAAUGCGUAGAUAUCUGGAGGAACACCGGUGGCGAAGGCGGCGUUCUGGACUGCAACUGACACUGAGGAACGAAGGCCAGGGGAGCAAACGGG